GAUGAACGCUAGCGAUAGGCUUAACACAUGCAAGUCGAGGGGCAGCAUUAUUUUAGCUUGCUAAGAUAGAUGGCGACCGGCGCACGGGUGCGUAACGCGUAUGCAACCUGCCUGUAAUUAGGGAAUAACCCGGUGAAAGUCGGACUAAUACCCUAUAUUCUUCUUUCUCCGCAUGGGGGAGGACGGAAAGAUUUAUUGAUUACAGAUGGGCAUGCGUCCCAUUAGCUAGUUGGUAAGGUAACGGCUUACCAAGGCAACGAUGGGUAGGGGGACUGAGAGGUUGACCCCCCACACUGGUACUGAGACACGGACCAGACUCCUACGGGAGGCAGCAGUGAGGAAUAUUGGUCAAUGGGCGAGAGCCUGAACCAGCCAAGUCGCGUGAAGGACGACGGUUCUAUGGAUUGUAAACUUCUUUUGUAGAGGAAUAAUGGCAGCUACGUGUAGCUGAGAUGCAUGUACU
rnacentral:rRNA from 1 species